UUAUAAAAUUUUAUUGCGUAAUUGUUUUCACAAACAUUUCCUCAAACCCAUCAUUUCACUUCACAGAAAAUAUUUGAAACACCAAUGAGAGAGUGUAAGGCAUUGAACCCAUUUCAUCAUGAAGUUUCCAUCAAUAGGUCCUUAGAUUGGUACAUAAUUCAUUCUGCAACAAACCAUGAAUAUCAGACAACAAUGAUUCACAUGACAAGCCACACAUUUCUUUUAAUGACCAGUCAACUCAAUUAUGUUCGAACCCUUCAAAUACCAUUCAAUAUCUACAUGAAAUGUUGAAAGCUGGUGUAUACAUUUCAGAUAAACGUAAAAAUAGAAACAAAAACAAAGCAAGGAACAAACAAUUAAUGUUGCAAUGAGACUCAUGAAGAAAGAGAUUCAUCACAGUUGGAGAAAUCAAAAGGCCUAAGAAACAUGUAUAAGCACCGCUCCUGUAAUGCACAAUUUCACUGUCAACUUUCAUCACAAUUUCAUUGAACACCAUCAACAACCAAUUUGUGGAUUUUGUAAACCCUAAUUCUGCUUUGCUAUGCUUGCUGGGUCAGUAAUUUUGUGUUUCGGCUCCGCUCCAAUGGAGAUCCAACAAACAAAAAACAAAAACAAAAACAAAUAGGAGUUUCAAGACACAGCUGAAGCAACAGGAGUUAUGGCUGCACAUCCUCAAGCAGAGUGAAAACACCCAUUUCCAGACAUGAAUUCCAUGUGCCAACAACUGUUGUUUUUGAACGCGAACAUCCUCAAGCAGAGUGAAAACACCGAACAACUGUGUUUUUGAACGCCAACAAAAGUGGGUUUCAGCCCAUGAAAUCAUAGAAAGAAUUGAGCGAAGGAAAUGGGAGACCGAACAACUUGUACAUGGGUUUCAGUAGAGAAUACCACACAAUGCAGACAAUGAGGAGGGUUUUUGGGGGCAAGGAUGUUUAGUUGGUGAAGACAGAGACCUCAGCCUCAUCAGCAUAGAGAUGCCUGCAUUUUGGCUUUAUUUCCUUGUUCAUAAGUGUGUGGAGUUGGCCACAGAUUUGUCAUGUGCUUUCAUGGUGUUUUGUUAUAUUGUGGAAAGGAGUUCCAAGUGCACCAUUCCGUAGAGCAAGCUGGCGUUCGCAAUUGCGUUGGGUUCGGUGGGUGGCUUCUCUGGUUUUGUGGAUGCUACACCGAUCUUGAUGCAACUGGAGAGAUGGGAUGUGAUUCUGAGGGGUUUGCAUGGAAAUGCUUUCAACGAGAACUUCAACGGAAUGAGUGAAGGACAAAGCAAGAAACUACUGCAUGUUCUAUCCUGAACCAAGAACAAAGCCAAGCUUAAAUUCAAUGCCAAGCUGCCUAUGGCCUCCGCGCUGCAGGGAAUCCAGGGAUUAAUGAACCUCCAAUAAAUAUUUAAAAUAAUAAUUUGUUAAAAGAGGUUUUGAGAACUCCUAAACCAUUGGUUCAAAUAGCAACUCAGGAGGAGACAACAAUGCUGUUAGGGAAUCCUUGUGCCUGAAUGGAAAAGCGUGGGUUACUACUGAAUGAAUUCAAGGAAUUGGCAAACUACAAAGGAAAAUAUGAAAAAGCCUAGUUAAUGAAAUGAACCGAGUUUUGCCGACAUUCAACGGCAUGUAGCCAUGUUCUGUUACUAAGGAAUUCGGAUACAAACUUUGCCCACUUUCUGCCGAUUAUUUGCACGUUGGAGGGUGCUUGUAAUGGUUGUCGCUAGUAGGCUACUUUUUCAUUUAGGCUCCAUUCGCAACUCUCAAGCUUCACAAAAAGCUUUUUAUUUUUCUUAAUUCCAUCUUGUUGUAAGCUGGGGAAUGUUUUGGGUUAUUACAAAGUUCUGGUGGAGAAGAGGCUUGAGGUGUACGAGAGCAUAGUUGGAAAAAGCCACUUACCUGACUUUAGUGGAGAAGUUCAAUGAAGGCUGCGCGACUCUGUUGUGGAUUUGAGGAGGUAUUGUGCUGGGUUUUUGAUUCUGGAGUGCGAUACAAGUAGGGGCAGUAGAUGGAUACAGUAGAAAAAGUGCAGGCGGCGGCGGUAGCGUGGGACUCGAGCGUUCUGCGCUCGCUUACAUGGAAAUUGUGAAAAUACGAGAUGUUGAAGUGGGCGAAAAGUACCAAUACAACAUCAUUCAGCUGCUGAACGUCUCUUCUCUACGAAGAACCUGGGUUCUGAUUGCCCAGGUCUGAACGCUCUUAUCCUUGGAAGGAUUUCAAAACUGUUCCUCGCAUAAAAUUUACCUUUUCUGACAUCUGAAUUCCAAACGAUCACACACGGUGCUUCUGGAUUGAUGAUAGGGCUUUUUCCUCUCAUGUUCUGGCCAGACGGAGGUUCAGUUCUGGUUGUGAACUUUUCCCUUGAGAGGGUGUAAGAAAGGUUUUGUAAGUGUUUGAGUUUGUCUCUAACGAAAGCUGUUAGUCCAUAACCCCAUGGCUUUAGCUAGUUAUUAUCUUGCAUCUACUAAUGAUGAGUUGUGUAGCGAAUGAAUUUCACGUUGCAAAUGUUUGAUUCUAUGGGACGAAAGUUUCUCUCUUUUUUAAAAAAAAAGUGUACGUCUCUUACUGCCCUCUGCUCUGUAGUUUAGCUGCAUUAACCCCCUUUUGAAGGAUAAACGUAUAGAGUGAAAUUGAGGACAUCUUCGUUUUGGUCCUCGUUGUUUGAAGGCAAUAUUGUUUUGUAUGACCGGAUCUUUUGUUAUUUGAGGGAGCAUGCCAGCAAUAUCUGACAUUACUCUGGUGUGGCGUGCAGAAACACGACUCUCUUUCGUGGUCAUUGGAGUUUUCAUGAAUGGACCUGGUUUGCAUUACUGGUAUGCUUUGGAUUUUCUUCUUUCCUCUUCAAUAGAAGUCAUGCUAAUGAUCCUUACUGAGUAUGACUCGUUUGAUUCUUGAAACCUGUGAGUAUCAUAGUCGUUCUAAUCUUCUUAUGAAAGUUUGAGCUUCUGUCGAAGUUUGUCACUGUUCCAGGGAUGGGUGGUGUACUUCUCCGCACUGCAGCCGAUCAGGUCUAGUAGCUCACUUCAAUAUGUCUAGUAACCAAUUAACGUUUUGUUUUCAUUUUUAGAAAUUAAUGCUUCUCUCCUGAAAGUCUAUCCUGGAAAAAAGUGACGGUCUUAAUGCCUUUGUGCUCGAUGAUCUAAUCAGGACUGCUAGUUAGGGCACAGAAAAUGAAUUGUUGGCAUCGCAGUUUGUGUUCACUCUCUGGAGUAUUGUGGGGUUUUUUUUUUGUUGUACUUCUCAACCUUGAAAGUCAUCAAGCUGAGGUUGCUGACAAACUUCAGAAGGCACCUCCAUCUCACUGAUCAUCAUUGUUGAGAUUUUUUGGGAAAGAAGUUCCUUACCGUAGUGGAUCUAGUUAAGGAUUUUCACCUUUCACGAAGACUUGCACCUCACACUUGGAGUUAAGCUCAGGCGGACGUUGUUUCAGGGAUUCUAUGCGAUUCUAUGAAUUGAAUGUACCGACAUCAACUUUUGAGAAAAGAGGUUACUCUGGUUGUGUCAAUAGGUUGCCGCAGCUGGAGUUCUGUGAAUGGCAUGGAGUAUCUUUAUUUCUUACAAAGGACACGAUCAAUGAUGCGUGCAAGUGAUGGCAACAGUGAGACCAAAUGUGCCACACGGUUUGGUCAUCAUCCUACCCUUACUUGAUGCUCGUCCAUGUGCUACAUUGUUGUGGUUGCAAAGCACCGACAAACAAAUUCAUUAUAGAGGUGACAAAGUGAAGCGAUUAUGCUUGCAUUAUGCGAGGGCUUUAUCUCCAGUGCAGGGUUGUACAUCCCUUUUUGAUGCGUUCCAAACGGAGCUUGGACGGGGUGGGUGCAAUUGAAUGUGUGGGCUGAUUGAGAGUCUCGCUUAUUGUUACAUGGUCAACUAUGAACUCACACUGGUUGCGCAACUCUUGCGACGGACGUAUCCUCAAAUUGGGACACAUUUAUAGAGGAGGAAAACUGUAGCUUUCUGUAGUUUUAUUGCCAUUCGUCUUGCUGCUAAUGCUGAAUGAACAUAUAUUGAUUAAUUAAAUUUUAAUCUAGACUUCACAAUCGCUUCUAUUA